GGGCUCGCACAAGUGGUGGAGCAUGCGGUUUAAUUCGAUGCUACGCGAAAAACCUUACCAACCCUUGACAUGGUGGUCGCGAGAGACAGAGAUGACUCUCUUCAGUUCGGCUGGACCACACACAGGUGUUGCAUGGCUGUCGUCAGCUCGUGUCGUGAGAUGUUGGGUUAAGUCCCGCAACGAGCGAAACCCUCAUCCUUAUUUGCCAGCGGUUCGGCCGGGGACUAUAAGGAAACUGCCGGUGAUAAGCCGGAGGAAGGUGGGGAUGAUGUCAAGUCAUCAUGGCCCUUAUGGGUUGGGCUACACGCGUGCUACAAUGGUAUCUACAGAGGGAAGCAAUAUGGCGACAUGGAGCAAAUCCUCAAAAGAUAUCUCAGUUCGGAUUGGUCUCUGCAACUCGAGACCAUGAAGUCGGAAUCACUAGUAAUCG
rnacentral:rRNA from 1 species